rnacentral:lncRNA from 10 species
CUUUUGCCUAGAAAAGAGGGUUGAGAAAUUGGAAACAAGUAAAGCAACACCCAGCAUCAUGUCUGCAUUUUGCAUAGAAGCAAUUCACAAGUCAUGUUUUCAGAUUUCAGAGCAAUCCACACUCAGCAAUAGUUUGCAGUGCUGACAAACUCAGUUGUCUUCUAAUGCUUUCAUCAUUGAUUUCUGUGUUCUUCACUUCUUGCUCUACACACCUGCCUUAGAGACACUAGAUUCAAGAAUCUUCCAAGAACCAAAUCAUCCUAUAUAAGAAGUUCGUCAUUGCUAGAAAAUACAGCCUAUCUUUUCCGAAGAAAACGAUGUAAUGAAACCAUUCUCUUCACUUUAAGAAAAAGGUUAUCCUAAUGAAAGGAAAUUAAGAACUCAAAUAUUUUAUUUUAUUCGAAUAGAUUGAUACAAAUUCCCUUGAUUUAGAACAUCUGUAAACACUGUAUAACUGCUGAGACCAUGCCAUCUGGAAAUGAAAUUAAAGUUGAUGGUUCAUAAGCAGAAAAUAGUUCCACAGGCCAGGUGGGUCCCAGUGAUUUCAUCAUUACGUUUUCUGACUUUUCUCCUUCAAGAGAGUAAUUGCUUCCUCAAAUCAGUGGGUCUUGUUUUAAAAUUCAUGGAAGCUAUAACUCCUAUCCUUAGCUUAGGUGGACUUAGAGUUUUCAUCAGAACGUUUGGCCGGACGCGGUGGCUCACGCCUGUGAUACCAGCACUAUGGGAGGCCGAGGAGGGCGGAUCACGAGGUCAGGAGAUCAAGACCACCCUGGCCAACAUGGUGAAACCCCGCCUCUACUAAAAAUACGAAAACUUCGCCCGGUAUGGCGGCGUGUGCCUGUAGUCCCAGCUACUCGGGAGGCUGAGGCAGGAGAAUGGCUUGAAACUGGGAGGCAGAGGCUACUGUGAGCCGAGAUCACACCACUGCACUCCAGCCUGGGCAACAGGAGCAAAACUCCAUCUCAAAAAACAAAAAACCAAAAACACACGCUCUGUCACACUGACGUCACACUGAUGACAGCCAAUUUUUGUGAACCAAGGAAGUGUCAAUUCAAUAAUCAGCAUAGAUGUUUACUUUGGCUAUCUCCUAUGUGCCAAGCAAGAUAUAGGCUCUGGGGAAUCAGAAACAAAAGAGACUCAAUUGUUCCUCUCACAAUACUCAGUACUUACUGAGACAAGGACAAAAUAAGAUGUCCUGUCUGGAAUGCAGGGACACAAGAACUUCAGGUCAGGGGAUAUUUCCGUUGAACCGUUUGGAGUUUAAGCUGAAAAUAUUAACGAAUGUAUCUAAAGUUCACUUUGCCUUGACUUUAUGCAUCCAUCACAUAGAGAUCACGCAGCGGGCACCCACUAUGGGUUUCAUCAUCGCUCACUUCCCUUGGAUCAACUAGAAAUCAACUCAGAUGAGAGUGCUGAGUCUCAGAGGAUGGACGUCUCACUCCUUGCCAUACAGAUAAGUAGAAAGGGUGGUAUUGAAAUUAAUGGCCAGACUCUAAGUCCCGGGCACUAUACUUGAUGGUCUCCCAACCCUCAAAAUGUUGUGGGUUCUUUUUUGUUUUUGAGACGGAGUCUCAUUCUGUUUCCCAGGCUGGAGUGCAGUGGAGCGAUCUCGGCUCACUGCAACCUCCGCAUCCCAGGUUCAAGCUAUUCUCUUGCCUCAGCCUGCCGAGUAGCUGAGAUUUCAGGCGCCCGCCACUACGCCUGGCUUAUUUUUUUCUCUUUUUAGGAGAGACGGGGUUUCACCGUGUUGGCUAGGCUGGUCUCGAACACCUGACCUUGUGAUUUGCCUGCCUCAGCCUCCCAAAGUGCUGGGAUAACAGGCGUGAGCCACCACGCCCAGCUUCAAAAGUUUUCAACAGAGCUCAGAGGUCUUAACCACAGGCACAUCCGAGGAGCAUUUUUGAAAUGGUUUCCAGCUUCCUCAAUAGGAAUGGAAGCCAAACCCGGAACUGAUGGCUCCUUGGAGGAAGUCGAGAGCUGUAAGGAAAGCCAGGAACAGGGGCAAGGGAGAGAUGCAUCCCGAAUGAUCCUGUGCCAAUUCUUUCUGGAAUCUUUGAUGUGAUCUCCGCUGCCCUUUCCAUACUUGACACAGUGAUUGUGGCACCCACUGGUCUAGCUGUGGUCUACAAGGAACCCCCAAAGGGAAGGGCACAGUGAGCAGGGGCAUCGGCCUGAGUGACAAGGAUUGGAGGGGGCAGGUUGGAUGCAGGGAGAGGACUGGCCAAAUGCCAUGUGUCUGGCUUAGACUACCUUGUUCAAAUUGGGCUUCACCAUUUUUGACUUCGUGAUCUGGUACAAGUUAUAUGAAAAUGUGUUGCUCCUUUUCUAGUCUGUAAAAUCAUAAGGAAAUGUGCACUAAUAACUGGGAGACUAUGCAGAUGAAAUGAAACAAGCUGCAUAGAACACAGAGCUCAGAGCCUGGCCUUUAGGAAGCCCUCAGUAAGGGUUCAUGAUGCCAUGGUGUCUGUCAUCAUCCUCUUUAUCCUCAUCAUCACCUUCAUCAUCUUUUUGUUGUUCUGAGGGCAUACUUUAGAGGGACUCAUUCCCUGCUCUCAUGGGUGAGAUGUCUAUGAAGAGGACAACCAGUGGGGGAGGGAAGCAAAAUUUUGAAGAAGAUUCCUGAGAGAGAUCCCCCACCACAACCAAGAACAGAAACUCCACAGUCUGCUGAGCUGACAGUUUGCACAUUGGUCUCCUCCCAUCUGCCCACGGCACUCUCCCGUUUGUCCUGAAGAUGAGGAAACAAACAAGGCUCCCGACCGUCCCUCAGCACUCACUGAACGGCCCUUCCCCUCUGCUGGGCCAUGACCACGGAGAACAGGUCCACUGUCCUCCCUGAGUGGUGCACAUGGGAGGCUCAGACUCCGUCCUCAAGGCUGGUAAGAAGACAGGGUGAGACAUGAGCCUCCUGAUACAGGUGACGGGUGUGGAGCCCACAGGACUGCAACCUCACACUGCAGGGCUGGAGGCACAGACUGAGUAUUUCCUAUUCUAUGGCCUGGGGGGCUCAAGGCACAGAGCUCCUCAUUAGCCAGAGUCGCCCAUGUUCCCCAUGCUCUAAGGAUUUCCUCAUCAUCAUGCAAGAAGAAGAAUAGAAAAAAGGAAGAGGAAGAAACAAAAGGAACUUCUCUCUUAGAUUUAAUUCUGACCUACCAGGAAGAACUGGAUUGUUGAAGCAGAAGUACUGGAGUCUCUGGAGCUAAAACCAAGGAUAAGAACAUUAAGAUUAUCCUGCUGGAGAGAGAGGCCAUGCGGAAGAACCCUGGAAAAUGAGACAGCUCACAGAGCAAGAGGCCAUGUGGAGAAGGCCUAGAAGUAAAAUGCCUCAUGGAACAAGAGGCCACAUGCAGAAGGCCUGGAGGAUGAGACGCCCUGUGAAGUGAGAGGCCACGUGGAGAAGGCCUAGAGGAGGAGACACCUUAUGGAGCAAGAGGCCGAAUGGAGAAGCCCCAGAGGGUUAGACACCUUGUGGAGCAAGAGGUCACACGCAGAAGUCCUGGGAGUGAGAUGCCUCACGAAGCGAGAUGCCUCGUGAAGCGAGAUGCCUCGUGGAGUGAGAGGCCAUGUGGAAGAACCCUGGAACUCAGCGGCUGAUAACACAAAGAUCCCAUGGUGUGAGAGAGGCCUUCAUGAACUUCCCGUCCAGCCCAGCUAGAGCCAAAUGGAGCCAUAUGUGUGACCGCAAGUGACAUCUACAAAAGAACGACCCAGUCACCCUGAGAAUUGUUAGAAAUGCAAAGCACUAAGUUUUGGGGUAGUUUGUUACACAGCAAUAGCUAACUGAUACAGAUGGUUUGAAUUACUUGACUUUAAAGUUCCUUCUUACCCUGAAAGUUUAUGGCUUAGUAAAGUGAAUUAAGCACAUUUGACUGAAACAGAGAGAUGGUGUAGGAAAAGAUCAGAAGGUAAGGGCAGGGCAAGGUGAGGAAGGCUUUCCGUGCCACGAUAAGGAAUUUGAGCUUUAACUGGUAGGUUCUGAAGCUGUCCCAGGAGGAAGUGACAUGAGAAGAUAGUUUUUUAGGAAGACCCACACUGCAGCAGCAUGUAGAUCAGACACGUGGGCACACAGAGCAGAUGUGAGAGAGAAGGAGGCAUGGAGACCUGAUUGCUGAGGCAAAAAGAUGCAGCUGACAAUUAUGGAGCAACAAGCUACUGAAUACAGAAUUGAACAUUCAGUCUUCAAGACACAGAUAAAUGGCACAUGCUUCUACUUGCAUUCCAUUGGCAAGAACACACGGCACACCAGCUGCCCACGGGGAUAGGGAAUCCCAGCUAGAAUUCCAUCCAAUAGAAGACAGAGGGGAGAGAAGAGCAGGGUAUUGGUAUCCACGCAAUUCAUCCAUUUAUUCCUCAAGCAUGUGUUAAGCGUUUGGCGAUGCUUCACGAUGUUGGACUCUGGACAUUCACAGAAGAUGAACACAUCUCACAAAAGGUGAAAAUGUUUAAAUCACCUGGGAUAAAGAACAUUCAGGGUUGAAAGAAUACAUGUUUGGUUAUAAUACUGCUUAUUAAGCAAGUAGAAAAUUAGAGUAAAUAUCAGCCCUUUAAGAAGACAGAUCUUCCAGAGAGCCUUAAAGGCAAGGUGGGCAUUUGAUGGUUUUAUCUGGGAACAUGCACUCCAGGUUCACCGUGAGCAGGUGAGAGACAUGGCUACACCUCUGAAAUGCUGCAAGUUCAUUUUUGAAGGAUUUGUCAUAGUAAAACAGAAAAAGUUCCCUUAUCCCCCUUACAGGGCGUGACAAGGGGAGUGGCUCCCUUCUUCCGCGCCCUGCAGCCUAAACCCCUAGGGAGAGCAUGCAGUCGGGCAGGUAGUAGGGAGCGUGGGCUCCAACCCCACCGCAGCGUCUAGGGUUGAGUGUUUACAGUUUUCGAAGCCCCGGUGAGCGUGUGUUGCAGCGUGCUUUUUCAGCUUAGCCAUCCGCAGGCGGCUUGUAUUAAUCAGCUCAAUUAGACCCUCUGCCUUAUCGCAAGGACAGAGGGCUUUUUGUAUCCUGGGGUUCUUGCCUAGUGUACUGGAAAAAUCUGAUCAUACAUGGGCUUGGAGAAUGAGUGCAAGGUUUUAUUGAGUGGUGGAAGUAGCUCUUAGCAGAUGGAUGGGAAGCCGGAAGAGGGAUGGAGUGGGAAGGGGUCUUCCCCUGGAGUCAGGCCGCUCAGUGGCUGGGCUUGCUUCUGACUGCCCUCUGCCAAAUUUCCCUCAGCGUCUGCGUGGUUCCACCGUCGAUGGCCUGCUAGUGUUUUUCUGCGAGUGUGUUCCUCUCGACGCCCAGCUGCUUGUACAUGUGCCCACUAGGGUCUCUCGGGUUUCUAUGGGCAUGGGAUGGCGGGGGGUUGUGGCGGGCCAGGGUGGUCUUGGAAAAUGCAACUUUUGGGCGUGAAAACAGGAAUGCCUGUCCUCACUUAGGUCCGUGGGCACAGGCCUGAGGGUGGAGCCCUGGCCAGGGACCCCAUCCUUCUCUACCCAGCACCUCCCUGCCCCCUCCCGUAUCAAUAGCAAUGAUGAAGGACUCACGCAGCCAUCUUUUCAGGAGCAUGUGACAGCCUGCAUGACCGGAGCCAAUGGUGAAUGUUUAAAUUCUGGGUCCCGAAGCAAUAUCUUGGGAAGGGCCUUCCUCUGUCCCACAGCUUCUAAAAAUGUUCUGUGCUUAUAGUAUUGGCUCAGUUUUGUGGAUGUGUUUCUGGGAUUAUUCAGUGACCUCAGACAGGCUGCUCCAAGUCUCCCUGGACCACCUGCGUAGUUCAGCCAUAUUCUACAGUGAGCACUUAGAUCUGGAUUUUGUCUGGAAACUCAAGUAUAAGACCUAGCACCACUUGCCAAGGACCUCUGCUUUGCUUUGGUAGGCCAAGGGUCUGGCUCUGUUACCCAGGCUGGAUUGCAGUGGUGCAAUCUCGGCUCCUGUAACCUUCACCUCCUGUAACCUUCACCUCCUGGGCUCAACCCAUCCUCUGGCCUCAGCCUCCUGAGGAACUGGGACUUACAGGUGUGCCACCACACACAGCAAUUUUUUUUUUUUUUGUAUUUUUGGUAGAGAUGGGGUUUCAUCAUGUUGGUCAGGCUGGUCUCUAACUCCUGGGCUCAAGUGAUCUGCCCAUCUCAGCCUCCCAAAGUGCUGGGAUUAUAGGCGUGAGCCACCGCACCAAGCCCUACUUUGUAUUUUGAAUAGAAGCAACAGCAGUGAUGGGAUUCGUACUCCAAACCUCAGCGUCACACAACAUUCCCAUGCAGCAAAUCUGCACAUGUAUCCUCUGUAUCUAAAAUAAAAGUUGAAAUGUUUUUAAAAAGAAGCAAUGGUAGCACUCUGUUUUAAACUAAUGUUAAUGUUCUCAAAGCCACAGUGGAAGAAAUCCACUACAUAUCACCUAGAACUGGAGAUCUAAUCUGACAGGUGGGCCACAGUACUAAUAAUGUGAGCACAAUUCCUAUACAAAAUUUUAUUAAACUGUAUUAGUUGAGCAGACAAAACUACACAGACACUCUUCUCUCUGCCUUGUUCCUUCUUGUACUCUG